UAUGUGGCUUGUUAUUUAGACUGAAAUUGCACAUUCACUUAUUGAUGUUCCACUAUAUUAAUAUUAUAAAAUGUUAUUGAUAGCAUGUAUAGGUAUUAUAAUGCCAAGGUAUAGAUCAUUUUUCGGAGCCCUUAAUUCAAAACUUAAUACUUUUUUUUUUACUAUACGUUAUCUAUACCAAGACAAUAUAAAUAUUAACAAUCUCGUAUAAAAAAAAAAAAGAUAGAAAUAAACUUUACUGUACUGUUAUUCCAAUACAAUUUAUAUAAAACUUUUUUUUAAUACACAAUAUUGUAAAAGAUUAAAUAUAUAUUUGAAAAAAAAAAAAAAACAAAUACACUGAUUUUAUAACUUCAAAAACUCUGACUGUAAGAAGGUAUCUAUUAAGUUUAUACAUUUGUAUUUAAAAUUGCAUAGGAAAUCUAAAAUCUAAACAACCAUGUUAAUCUUAUCUGAUUUAUUAUUAUACUAAGCAUAAAAAUUGAAAAUUAGAAUAUUGUACAGUAAUUUUUAUUUUUAUUCAAAUUGGUAUUUAACACAGGCAAAAGGAAUAAUGUAAGAUUACCUAUUUACUUUUACGCUUUAAUUAAUUUAAAAAUGGUGUUAAAAUUAAUUCAUGAAAUAGGUACUCGAUAUAUUCAACACUUUGUCUCAAAUUAAACUGUGUCUAUGUGUAUGUGUGCGUGCGUUUACAAUGUAUUCCAAAUUAAACCUGGCGCUGUAAAACAAAAGUUUGUGCU